GAAGCUGGCUGGCUGAGAAUAAGAAAAUACAGUAUGUGAGCACUUGGAGGAGAAACUGUAGGUUGCAAUAGUGGAAGGGAGGAGGAUUUUGAGCAAAAGAAGAAACUUGUGUUGUUAAGAGCUGCGACAACACUAUUCAUUGCCUGAGUAGCCAAGCAUGUUAAGGUUUCUGCUGGAAAGGAAGACAUCACUUUCUAGGAAUAUCUCUGUGAAAUGGCUCGCACAGACUGUGGACCAGGGAAGGAUGAUGCUACAGAUGCAUGGUCUCUCCAAAGCACCAACUGAAUCCAGCAUCUGUGUAGAGAGAAGAGAUUCAGCCCCAAGAUGAGAUCCAGGAAUCUAGGAUGUACUCAGGGAGAUGAAGACUACAGCCUACUCAUUCUGUCUCUUUAUGCCCCCCUCUUUCUCCUCUCACUCUCUCAGUAUGGUGCGUUAUAGAACAACAAAGAGAGAAAAGGAAAUGAAGACCAUGAGCCUUGCAUAUUAAAUAUUAACUGAGAAGUACCUGGAUCCUAUGAGAAAUAUAUACCUUAUUUAAAAAAAGCCAUGCUCUUCAACCUGGCAAAGGCCUUCUCCAGGAUUUAAGUGAUUUCCAGUGAGUGCCUUACAAGAAUUCUUCUCAUGUGUGGAGGAGAAGUUCAACACCCUAAAUGGAUGUGGUAAAGUGCCCCAGAGGGAAUUACAAUGAAAGUGAAAUCCAAAGAAUUCCAAGAGAACCACACCUGCAAAUCAUGCUCCAUUCAUUUGUGUACGUCCCCUACUCAGUCUUUAAACCCACAGUGUAGCAAUUUCCAAAGGGAGCUCAAUGCAUAGAUCCCAGACCCCUUCAUCUGAGCUCAUGGUUGUAUAAACCUCAGUGUCCAUAUCCUACUGAAACUCUGCCCAGAGGAAAGCAUGUGUUUUCUUAGAACUACUUAUUCUGCUCUUAGAUUAUUUUUAAAAUUUUACUCUUAGAUAUUUGUUGACCUUGAUAAUAUACUAAACCGUUUUUGUUUGUUUGUAUGUUUGUAUUUUAUUGUGGUUAUGUUCUCUUUAAGGUCCAUUACAGUGUUGGAAAACAGUAUAUUCUCUAAAUAAAAAAGAGAAAAAUUUAAAUUAAAAGA
rnacentral:lncRNA from 1 species